rnacentral:misc_RNA from 1 species
GAAUCUGUUUCUUUCUAUGGUGUAAGUCUUCUGCCUAUAAUCUUAUUUCUGUGCUUUAUAAUAGCUAAUAAAAAUUUAUGUAUUGCACAAGAAUUUCAUUUUCACAAGUGAAUUACUUCUAAAUUAAUGGCAAGAUUCCUAAUUCUCAGCCAAUUAAUUCUAGGGUGGCAACUUUUUAGGAAUAUUGGUCUUGCACCUUUCUAAUUAAUGAACUUUCAGGACAGAUUAACUUCUUAGGAAAAUGGCUUUACUUGAAGUUGUUGCUUGUAGCCAGUGGUUGGAUACAUACCCCUUAGCAUAAGCAAUUGUGAUCUGGGCUUUCCCCAACCCAUAAAAUUCAAAGGAAAAAUAAUAUGCAAUUACUUGAAGUUUGUGACCCAAACAGUACUUGAGCAGAAUAGACUUGCUGUAAUUACAUUGCAUAAAAUAUUUAGAAAACAUAAUAUGCACAUACAGGGAAUAAUAAUAAGGAUUUUUUCAUUUUUAGUUUUACAAUUUGUAAUAGUUAUUGCUUUGAAACAACAGGUAUUUGAUGGGCAUGGGGGAAAG